rnacentral:rRNA from 1 species
UACGUAGGGGGCGAGCGUUGUCCGGAUUUAUUGGGCGUAAAGAGCGUGUAGGCGGCCAGGUAGGUCUGCUGUGAAAACUCGAGGCUCAACCUCGAGACGUCGGCGGAAACCAUCUGGCUAGAGUCCGGAAGAGGAGAGUGGAAUUCCUGGUGUAGCGGUGAAAUGCGCAGAUAUCAGGAAGAACACCAGUGGCGAAGGCGACUUCCUGGCCUGUUCUUGACGCUGAGGCGCGAAAGCUAGGGGAGCAAACGGG